rnacentral:rRNA from 1 species
UACGUAGGGGGCAAGCGUUGUCCGGAAUCAUUGGGCGUAAAGAGCGCGUAGGCGGCCCUGUAAGUCCGCUGUGAAAGUCAAAGGCUCAACCCUUGGAUGCCGGUGGAUACUGCAGGGCUAGAGUCCGGAAGAGGCGAGUGGAAUUCCUGGUGUAGCGGUGAAAUGCGCAGAUAUCAGGAGGAACACCGAUGGCGAAGGCAGCUCGCUGGGACGGUACUGACGCUGAGGCGCGAAAGCGUGGGGAGCAAACAGG